ACUAAGCGUACACGGUGGAUGCCCUGGCAGUCAGAGGCGAUGAAGGACGUGCUAAUCUGCGAUAAGCGUCGGUAAGGUGAUAUGAACCGUUAUAACCGGCGAUUUCCGAAUGGGGAAACCCAGUGUGAUUCGUCACACUAUCAUUAACUGAAUCCAUAGGUUAAUGAGGCGAACCGGGGGAACUGAAACAUCUAAGUACCCCGAGGAAAAGAAAUCAACCGAGAUUCCCCCAGUAGCGGCGAGCGAACGGGGAGGAGCCCAGAGCCUGAAUCAGUGUGUGUGUUAGUGGAAGCGUCUGGAAAGGCGCGCGAUACAGGGUGACAGCCCCGUACACAAAAAUGCACAUAUUGUGAGCUCGAUGAGUAGGGCGGGACACGUGGUAUCCUGUCUGAAUAUGGGGGGACCAUCCUCCAAGGCUAAAUACUCCUGACUGACCGAUAGUGAACCAGUACCGUGAGGGAAAGGCGAAAAGAAC
rnacentral:rRNA from 1 species